AAAGGAAGAACUUUUCCAAUGUUAACAGAGAAAAUAGUUUUUGUGUGUGGCAGGUGUGCAGAUACAAUGUACAGAAAAUUGACUCCCUCAAAUG